rnacentral:lncRNA from 1 species
CUCUCUCUAGAAUUGGAAUGUAAGUUGGAGGAGGAGCUCGGUGGAGUGCCGUUGGAGCUCGGAUUCGACGCCGACAUCGCGCCGCGAAGCCGUUCGAGGGUACAAUCGCCGCCGUAGCAUCGCGAGGAGGCCGGGCGAGGGUGUUUUUCCGCCGUUCUCGAUGUCGCGCCGGAUUGGAUUUAGCGAUCGAGGUGGGUUUAUCAUCGGAUUCUUACUUCUAGAGGCUUGUUGGUCGACAUGUAUAUUUCGGGUUUUCACGUACUUGUAUUAUAGCUCUAAUUCAUGACCGUUUCAUGUUUUGUUGAUUAGAAUGAGUUUAGAGCAUGAUUCUAAUUAUGGAUAAAUUAUGAAUAAGUUUAGAGCAUGAUUUUGAUUAUGGAUAAAUUAUACAUGUUGGACUCAGAUUUGACUUAGGAGAAAAUCCGCGAAUAACCUGUCAUUAUGCUUACACUACCAGAUUUAGCUCUAGGAGCCGUUAUAUUUUUGUAUC